CCGGACCGUCAACGAGGCAGCAACGAAUUGUGGAACUGCUGCAGGUUUUUGGUAAAAAUGCUUGAAAUAAGCUAGUUUAAAGUGUAAAUUAACCACGCACAAAGCGAUAAACUAUGUGAACGGAGCGGAGUUGGCAGCCGACGGCUGCCGAAAGUUGUGAAAUUCCGGAUGUUUUUUUCAAACCGACAGUGGAACUUGUCUAGUCCGGAAUCAACGAAAACACCCCGGAUUUCCAGCGGUGUUGAAAUCCAUCUGGAUACCACAUGGUAUCGAGUGACAAAUCGGAUGGCAGCGCUAAGCGGAGGCACCGCUCCCUGAAACAUUUUCCAAAAUGGAGUCGCGGCUGAAGUGACGGUGAAAGACAGAUAAGAUACGGGGCCGCCGGCGAGGGGUCGUGUUGGCAGCUGUAGUAGCUUAUUCAACCUGCCUUCAAAAUAAAAGGAGAAUAGGAAGAGACGAAAAAUACAUUUUAAGUUUACACUUUGUUAUCAUUGUUUUCACUUUUUGCUUUUAAUAUUAUAUGUUUUCCAGAUUCGUUGAUAUCGCCUUCUACAGGGCCAACCAACAAUUAUUGGGUUUAGAUUGUUGCUUGAAAAACAAUAUUUCAGAAGAAUUUGUCAUGGUAUCCGCUCCGUAGGUACGGGUCACUACGGCUUGCUGUCGAAACUUUGACGCGAAGCCGCUGUCACGGUCGCCAUGGAGUCCAAGGACUUUCUUUCUUAUGUGAUCGAGGUGUCCAAGGUACAGUGGCCUACUUAGAUUAGGUACUUUCUUGGAUCUCGAAUAAGGAAGUCGAGUCCCACCCAUUAUGCAGUCAUUUUCCAGGAACUUUUUGCUUCAACUUGUUUGAGUUUCUACGUCGAUUCAGUAAAUCACUGCCGAUCACUCGACCUCUAAGGCCCUCCUUUAUAGCCUGAUGGUGGGACAUAAUUCCCUGGUUCGUAGAUAUGAUCACGUAUCGUGUGAUUUUUUUAUCCGGUGAUUUUAACGGAAUGUAGCACUAUAGCAGGCUGAACUUGUUACUGUUGAGAAUAUUUCAACAAUUGCUCUCGGUCUAAAUGUCUAAACGGUAGUCUCAGUCGUCUCGAUCAGGACCUCCACGGUUGAUGUCUUUAUUAUGUCGAUUCAUCUUGCGAAGCCACACAGUAAACAAAGUGAAUUUCCCUUUUUUCCGUACCUGUCAAAAUCUGCUGCUAGAGAUUGUGGUUUAUAGCAUUUUACAAAUUUCCCAGUGUCUCCAUCUAAUCCUCUUAUGAAGCUGUCUAGAGGAAUACCUCUUUUAAUUCGUUUGCAAGACUAAGUUUUUAUUAGACGUGUUGGUGUAUUUUUGCAAAAAAAGUAAUUAAAUUUAUAAUAUAUUCAACUUUUCACUAGGUUUUCAAUUCUUUUUAAUUUUUAGACUUGGGUUUGAUUAGACAAGACAAGUUAAUUAGACGUUGUUUAGACUUUUUAGACAAGACAAGGUAAGAUUUUUUAGACAAUUUAGACUUUAUAAGACAAUGCUUCAGACAAGACAAUUUUUAGACAAGUUAAUGUACUUUCGUAAAGCAAGACGUUGUAGUCCUUAUGUUUAGACAAGACUUUAAAGACAAGACGUUUUAGUUUUUAGACUUUUUUUUAUAUAUAUAUAUAAGACUUUUAGAGACGGUAUUUAAUUCAAGAUUAAAUAAGAUGUUUAUGCAUGCUAAGACGUGUUUCAGACAAGGUUUAAUCGUGACAAGACCAUUGUAUUGGGCAAACCGUUCAAAGGUUAAUUGCAAAGGUGAGUUUUUUUGCGUGAGAAAAAAAAUUUCCUUAAGACAGUAAAUUAGAAAUUACUGUGUUAGAGCUUGAAGGAAUUGAUGUUGUGAGUAAGUUUUAGUAGGAUGGUUUGCUGUGAUUGAUGAGAUUCUAAAUGAUGAGGCCCUAAUCUUAAUAUUUAAUACACUUUUUGUGUUUUCUCUUUGUUAAUAUUUGAUUUUCACUUUUAUUAGAUCCUUAUUUUCGUUUUUGUUUCAAUUACAGAAUAAUUGUGUACUUCAUCGAUGAUGAGUUGCGGGAUGUAGUCAGGGCGAAGUAGAAUGUCCUGCUGCGGAGCGCGUGUCCGGUUAUCCUGUUAUCUCCUUGUUGCUCGGUAGUAGCAAUGUUGAAUCUUCUCGGGAUGGUGGCUGUUCCUUUUUCUUACUCCAGUACUAAGGGGCUUCUCACAUCCGGCUGCAGUUUUGAGGUGCGAUAGGAUUCGGUUCCCUGCCUCACCAAUCCUAUUAUACAGUGGCGGUCAGCGUGGGCACGAUCGCUAAUAGCUCGGUUUAUCUGGCGCCAGUUAUAAAUUCUGAACCCUUACAGGGUUUAAAAAAAAAAAUAUUCCCGUAACUUAAACUAAUUCACUUUCACUUUUGAUUUGAUGCUCAUUGGCUGGUAUUGUAGACUUGUAGUAUUCUUGUAACUUCGAUGAACGUUGAUCCUGAUGGUUAGAAGGUCCAAGCCGGUAGACUGAUGCUCCUGGCGAAUCAAACUCCUAAAACAGAAUGGCUUCCUCCGGUUGGUAGCUGAGUAUUUAUAUGCGUCCUAAUUAUGAAGUGUCAUUCUAGGCGUGUGGCGUGAUCGGGUGCAACGGAUGUUCCCCCAUCGAUGUUUUGGGUUUACGCCAGUUAUAAAACGUCAAUGGUAGAAGGGAAGAUGUUUCGAAAUUAAUAACGCCGAUGUGGUUAGUUAGACUGUUCAAAAUGUUUCCAUUAUCAAAUGUUUAUGCUACUGUUUCCCUGGUACAGUAUCAAGUUCAGCCGGGUCACACGGGAAAGUGAUGAUCCAGUUGUCAAGAGGCUUCCUAUCAUAAUUGGCUCGAGGUCGUUGUUUGGGUAAUGGAGAUUAGCAUAGAUGCGUCGUAACAUGGUUUGAUUACCCUGAUUUGCAUAAGGUAGAUCAAGUUCCGUGUUAACUCGCAUCUCUCUUUUAUUCCCCUUUCGCUUUCCAAACCACUGCUCACAUCUCUGUCGCUGUCAUUCAAGCACAACCCGAGAAAACGAAAACUCACAGCUCAAAUUUCAUUACAACCUAACUCUAAUUUUUCUAGAAACAGCUCCCUCCGACUUAUUUUUCUCACCAGGUGUAAAAGUUCUGCUAGCGUAGGCUAUCGGUCGAUCGCCAAUUUAAUCAUCUCCAAUGCAGAAGUCAUUUCUUUGCUUCUUAUUGCAAUGAUUGACCGAUGAAAAAUAAUUAUGAUUUUUGCGACUGUCAUCAAGGACAAUCGCCUUAUUUGUUUGUUAUCUAAUCGAAGAUUGAUAAAAUCUUCGAUUUUUUUUAAAUGUUUCGAGAUGCUUUAUUAUAGAAAUUGAGUU